UGUGAAGCCAUUCGGCCUGAAGGUGUC
rnacentral:piRNA from 1 species